rnacentral:rRNA from 1 species
UGGGGAAUUUUGGACAAUGGGCGCAAGCCUGAUCCAGCCAUGCCGCGUGCGGGAAGAAGGCCUUCGGGUUGUAAACCGCUUUUGUCAGGAACGAAACGGUGUUGGCUAAUAACCAGCGCUAAUGACGGUACCUGAAGAAUAAGCACCGGCUAACUACGUGCCAGCAGCCGCGGUAAUACGUAGGGUGCAAGCGUUAAUCGGAAUUACUGGGCGUAAAGCGUGCGCAGGCGGUUAUGUAAGACAGGUGUGAAAUCCCCGGGCUCAACCUGGGAACUGCAUUUGUGACUGCAUAGCUAGAGUUUGUCAGAGGGGGGUGGAAUUCCACGUGUAGCAGUGAAAUGCGUAGAUAUGUGGAAGAACACCGAUGGCGAAGGCAGCCCCCUGGGAUAAGACUGACGCUCAUGCACGAAAGCGUGGGGAGCAAACA